AGAGUUUGAUCAUGGCUCAGGAUGAACGCUGGCGGCGUGCCUAAUACAUGCAAGUCGUGCGGCAGCGAGCUUUGCACGGUCUACUGGAGUUAACCUCAAGUGUACCGUGCAGAGUGUCGGCGAGCGGCGGACGGCUGAGUAACGCGUGGGAACGUGCCCCAAAGUGAGGAAUAACUGCCCGAAAGGGUAGCUAAUGCCGCAUAUGGUCUUCGGAUUAAAGCUUUCGAGCGCUUUGGGAGCGGCCCGCGUCUGAUUAGAUAGUUGGUGAGGUAAUGGCUCACCAAGUCGACGAUCAGUAGCUGGUCUGAGAGGAUGAUCAGCCAGACUGGAACUGAGACACGGUCCAGACUCCUACGGGAGGCAGCAGUAAGGAAUCUUCCACAAUGGGGGCAACCCUGAUGGAGCAACGCCGCGUGAAGGAUGAAGGCCUUAGGGUCGUAAACUUCUUUUGUUAGCGAAGAAUAUGACGGUAACUAACGAAUAAGG
rnacentral:rRNA from 1 species